CUUCAGCCAAUGAAUUCAACCAUGUUCUUUGCCUCAAGGGGCCCAGAAUGCAGGCUCCUUGGUCAAGCUCUACAGCCUGUUUGCUUGGGUAGGUUGCACUAAGGGAUCUCUGAGACAGCC
rnacentral:snoRNA from 1 species